UACGGAGGGGGCAAGCGUUGUUCGGAAUUACUGGGCGUAAAGCGCGCGCAGGCGGUCCUUUAAGUCUGAUGUGAAAGCCCACGGCUCAACCGUGGAGGGUCAUUGGAAACUGGGGGACUUGAGUACAGAAGAGAAGAGUGGAAUUCCACGUGUAGCGGUGAAAUGCGUAGAGAUGUGGAGGAACACCAGUGGCGAAGGCGACUCUUUGGUCUGUAACCGACGCUGAGGCGCGAAAGCGUGGGGAGCAAACAGG
rnacentral:rRNA from 1 species